rnacentral:rRNA from 1 species
GACGAACGCUGGCGGCGUGCUUAACACAUGCAAGUCGAACGCUGAAGCUUGGUGCUUGCACUGGGUGGAUGAGUGGCGAACGGGUGAGUAAUAAGUGAGUAACCUGCCCUUGACGCUGGGAUAAGCCUGGGAAACUGGGUCUAAUACUGGAUACGACAUGUCACCGCAUGGUGGUGUGUGGAAAGGGUUUUACUGGUUUUGGAUGGGCUCACGGCCUAUCAGCUUGUUGGUGGGGUAAUGGCUCACCAAGGCGACGACGGGUAGCCGGCCUGAGAGGGUGACCGGCCACACUGGGACUGAGACACGGCCCAGACUCCUACGGGAGGCAGCAGUGGGGAAUAUUGCACAAUGGGCGGAAGCCUGAUGCAGCGACGCCGCGUGAGGGAUGACGGCCUUCGGGUUGUAAACCUCUUUCAGCACGGAAGAAGCGAAAGUGACGGUACGUGCAGAAGAAGCGCCGGCUAACUACGUG